rnacentral:rRNA from 1 species
GAUGAACGCUGGCGGCGUGCCUAAUACAUGCAAGUCGAGCGAACAGACGAGGAGCUUGCUCCUCUGACGUUAGCGGCGGACGGGUGAGUAACACGUGGAUAACCUACCUAUAAGACUGGGAUAACUUCGGGAAACCGGAGCUAAUACCGGAUAAUAUAUUGAACCGCAUGGUUCAAUAGUGAAAGACGGUUUUGCUGUCACUUAUAGAUGGAUCCGCGCCGCAUUAGCUAGUUGGUAAGGUAACGGCUUACCAAGGCAACGAUGCGUAGCCGACCUGAGAGGGUGAUCGGCCACACUGGAAGUGAGACAGGGUCCAGACUCCUACGGGAGGCAGCAGUAGGGAAUCUUCCGCAAUGGGCGAAAGCCUGACGGAGCAACGCCGCGUGAGUGAUGAAGGUCUUCGGAUCGUAAAACUCUGUUAUUAGGGAAGAACAAAUGUGUAAGUAACUAUGCACGUCUUGACGGUACCUAAUCAGAAAGCCACGGCUAACUACGUG